CCUACUGAAUGUUUGGAUUUUGUGUAGUUAAAGUAGUUUAGAACAGAAAUUACCUGGUUUAGAAUUCUGCAGAAUUGGAAAAUUCAUGUUUGUCUGAUUUUGGGGAAUUUUAUUGAGAUAGUUCGAAAGUUCUUAAAUUUCUGAGAAUUUUACUGAGAGUUCCUCUAUGAGUCUUCUAUCUAUGGUAAAAAUUUCAGGAUCGAGUUCGAAGUAUUGAGCUCUAUAGAAAUUCUUAACCUAGCAUCACUCAUUUUCGGAACUGUGCAGUCUGCACCGACACAUGUUGGGGAAACGGCCAUAAUUUUUAGCUCGAGCGAUGAAGUUACAAACCGUUUUCUGAUUUUGAAACUAGAUUCAUAGACCCUAAAAAGUAUGUGGAGUUUGUACCUUAGUUAUUUCCGUGCAAAGUCAGAUUUUAAGUUGAAGUUGAUGAAAUUGCAGAUUCUGAAAUUAUUUCUUGAGAUUGGUUGUCUAACUUCAUAUCUUUCACUCUAGGACCUUAUGUUCAUUAAAGAUAGGCUUAUUUAGCAUCUUCUAAUCAUGGUUUUGUUGCCUAAUUGUCUCGGAGGUUCGUGUGACACGUGAAUCGAGGAUGCGAAGAUUAAAGGGUUGACAUGGACCCUUUUGUGUGGAUAGGCUGUAAAUAUAAGACCUGUACUUUUGUUGUAGAUAUUGAAUCUCUACUUUAGAGGCUUGUUUGUUUGUAGUUGAAUCUUGUAAGAUAUGUAGAAGGCACAGCUCUGAGUGGUUGACAAGAAAAACCAUGUAUAUAACCUGUGAUGUUCGA